rnacentral:rRNA from 1 species
UACGUAGGGGGCUAGAGUUGUCCGGAUUUACUGGGUGUAAAGGGUGCUCAGGUGGACUUGUAAGUCAGAUGUGAAAUUCCAAAGCUUAACUUUGGAGCUGCCUUUGAUACUGCAAGUCUGGAGUUUGAGAGAGGGUAAUGGAAUAUCUGGUGUAGCAGUGAAAUGCGUAGAUAUCAGAUAGAACACCAAUGGCGAAGGCAGUUACCUGGCUCAAAACUGACGCUAAAGCACGAAAGUGUGGGGAGCAAACAGG